ACGAACGCUGGCGGCGUGCUUAACACAUGCAAGUCGAACGGAAAGGCCCUGCUUUUGUGGGGUGCUCGCGUGGCGAACGGGUGAGUAACACGUGAGUAACCUGCCCUUGACUUUGGGGUAACUUCAUGAAACUGGGGCUAAUACCGGAUAGGAGCUCCUGCUGCAUGGUGGGGGUUGGAAAGUUUCGGCGGUUGGGGAUGGACUCGCGGCUUAUCAGCUUGUUGGUGGGGUAGUGGCUUACCAAGGCUUUGACGGGUAGCCGGCCUGAGAGGGUGACCGGCCACAUUGGGACUGAGAUACGGCCCAGACUCCUACGGGAGGCAGCAGUGGGGAAUAUUGCACAAUGGGCGGAAGCCUGAUGCAGCAACGCCGCGUGCGGGAUGACGGCCUUCGGGUUGUAAACCGCUUUCGCCUGUGACGAAGCGUGAGUGACGGUAAUGGGUAAAGAAGCACCGGCUAACUACGUG
rnacentral:rRNA from 1 species